AUCGUCGGCCGGACGGUCGCGAAAUCGGGGAACGGGCCUUCAUGGUCACGCCACGAUUCCGAGGAAAGUCCGGGCUCCACAGAGCAGGUCGCCAGGUAACGCCUGGGCACGCAUGGCGCGAGCGGUGCGUGACGGACAGUGCAACAGAAAGCAAACCGCCGUCUUCGCAAGAAGGCGGUAAGGGUGAAAGGGUGGGGUAAGAGCCCACCGCGCGGCUGGCAACAGUCGUGGCACGGCAAACCCCGGCCGGAGCAAGGCCAAAUAGGCGGUGAGAGGCGGCUCGCCUCGACCCCGUCGACCUGCCUUCGGGCAGACUCGGCGAACCGCGGGUAGGCUGCUGGAGCGUGCCGGUGACGGCACGCCGAGAGGAAUGACCGUCCGGUGCACCUCGGUGUACCGACAGAACCCGGCUUACAGGCCGGCGGUAUCC
rnacentral:RNase_P_RNA from 1 species